rnacentral:rRNA from 1 species
AACGUAAAGAACCUGCCUCAUAGACGGGGACAACUAUUGGAAACGAUAGCUAAUACCGGAUAACAACAUAAAUCGCAUGAUAUAUGUUUAAAAGUUGGUUUCGGCUAACACUAUGAGAUGGCUUUGCGGUGCAUUAGCUAGUUGGUGGGGUAAAGGCCUACCAAGGCGACGAUGCAUAGCCGACCUGAGAGGGUGAUCGGCCACACUGGGACUGAGACACGGCCCAG